rnacentral:lncRNA from 1 species
AUGAAAGUAUUUUUAAAGCAACGUCAAUGUCUAGAACAAAAAAAAAAAAGGUGGGGGGAGGAGGAAGAAGAUGGAGACCCUUCUGGAAACGAGACUCCGAGAAAUAACCCCAAAACGAAUGCACCCGCGCCGCCGCCCCUCCUUGCCGAAAGGGGCUUUCGAUUUGGAGCUGUCAGCUCGGCAGACGCGGCGAGCCGUCGCUUAUCGAGCUGCAUCUUGUACGGAACAUCUGGCGGAGCAGCUUCAAAGCGGCGGAGGAAAGUUGCGCAGGACAAAUCACCCAAUAUACUUCAUUAGGGCCGAGCAC